CUCUGGUAUAUUUCCAUUGCGCCUCAAACAGGCAACUGUAACCCCAAUUCUAAAGAAGCCCAAUCUUGACCCUAACUCCCCAUCCAACUAUCGUCCUAUCUCGCUACUGCCUUUUGCAUCCAAGAUCCUUGAAAGAAUUGUGUAUGCGAGAUUGACAGACUUCCUCGAGUCCAACUCUCUGCUGGACCCGCUUCAGUCUGGUUUCUGCGCUAAGCAUUCUGUGGAAACGGCACUGACCAAAAUAUCCAAUGAUCUACUCACUGCAAAAUCUAGUGGUCACUACUCAUCCUCAUCCUCCGCAAUAUCGGUCUACAAGACCAGCACUCUUUCAAUGUUUCUUUCUCUGGCUCUGCUUCUUCUCCCCAACUCCUCUCUGUUGGUGUCCCCCAAGGUUCAGCCCUUGGUCCCCUACUGUUCUCCAUCUAUACUGCCUCCCUUGGUAAACUCAUUAGUUCCUUUGGCUUCCAAUAUCACUUCUACGCAGAUAACACGCAAAUCUACCUGUCCUCUCCCCGUCCCUCUUGACUAGUGUCUCUGACUGCCUCUCUGCUGUUUCUAACUGGAUGGCUGCCCACUUCCUUAAACUAAACUUGACCAAAACUGAAAUUCUGGUCUUUCCUCCCUCAAGUGUUGUUACUCCUGUGUCUGUCUCCCUCCAAGUCAACGGUGCUACCAUCAGCUCCACCACACAGGCUCGCUGCCUAGGUGUUCUCUUUGACUCCGACCUCUCCUUCAAGCCUCAUGUUAAAUCUAUCGCCAAAUCCUGUCAUUUCCAUCUCAAAAACAUUGCGCUCAUCCGCCCCCUACUUAACACCAGAUGCGACUAAGGUGCUGGUCCAUUCCACUGUCCUUUCUCGCCUUGACUACUGUAAUCCACUUUUCAGUGGUUUCACGUGCUCCCAACUAGCGCUGUUACAGUCCAUAAUGAAUGCGGCGGCGAGGCUCAUCUCCCUGUCCGCCCGCACCUCCCAUGCCUCACCCUUCUGUCAGUCCCUACAUUGGCUUCCUAUAAAAUAUAGAGCUCAGUUUAAAAUUCUGGUUCUUGCUUUCAAAUCUCUGCAUAAUGCUGAUCCCACCUAUCUAUCCUCCCUUAUACACAAGUAUGUCCCGUCUAGGCCCUUACGAUCUGCUGAAGACUUAUGUCUAUCUUCUGUCCGUACUCCCACCUCUGAUGUUCGCCUUCAAGAUUUCUCGAGGGCUGCACCGUUCCUGUGGAAUUCGCUUCCCUCCUCCGUUAGAUGCUCACCCAGUCUCCACUCCUUCAAAAAAAUCGUUAAAAACCCACUUCAUAAAAGCAUAUCAAUUAAACUGUUAUUAGACUAGUGACAGUUGCAGAAGAGGAAUCAGUCAGGAGUUAUUACUAUCCUUACCUUUUUGUGUCAUUUUACCCCACUCCCUCUAGCAUGUAAGCUCAUUGAGCAGGGCCCUCAACCCCUCUGUUCCUGUGUGUCCAACUUGUCUGGUUACAACUACAUGUCUGUUCGUCCACCCAUUGUAAAGCGCUGCGGAAUUUGACGGCGCUCUAUAAAUAUCAUAAUAAUAAUACAAUUAAAG